rnacentral:rRNA from 1 species
GACGAACGCUGGCGGCGUGCUUAACACAUGCAAGUCGAACGGAAAGGCCCUGCUUUUGUGGGGGGCUCGAGUGGCGAACGGGUGAGUGACACGUGAGUAACCUGCCCUUGACUUUGGGAUAACUUCAGGAAACUGGGGCUAAUACCGGAUAGGAGCUCCUGCUGCAUGGUGGGGGUUGGAAAGUUUCGGCGGUUGGGGAUGGACUCGCGGCUUAUCAGCUUGUUGGUGGGGUAGUGGCUUACAAAGGCUUUGACGGGUAGCCGGCCGGAGAGGGUGACCGGCCACAAUGGGACUGAGGUACGGCCCAGACUCCUACGGGCGGCAGCAGUGGGGAAUAUUGCACAAUGGGCGGAAGCCUGAUGCAGCAACGCCGCGUGCGGGAUGACGGCCUUCGGGUUGUAAACCGCUUUCGCCUGUGACGAAGCGUGAGUGACGGUAAUGGGUAAAGAAGCACCGGCUAACUACGUG